GGAGCUGCGGAAGGAUCAUUA
rnacentral:rRNA from 1 species